rnacentral:tRNA from 1 species
GCGCCGCUAGCUCAGUUGGUUAGAGGCAGCUGACUCUUAAUCAGCGGGUCCGGGGUUCGAGUCCCUGGCGGCGCA